CAGAAAAUAGUUUAGUGGGAGAAUGUUGGCUUUGGGAGCCGGCGGUGGGGGUUCGACGCCCCUUUUUCUGA